rnacentral:lncRNA from 1 species
AGGACUAAAUUUCAAACUCUUAAAAACCUUCACUCUUAUAUACAAGGUGAACUAUAAAGUUCAAUUUACCUAAGCCAGUUUAAAAACAAGGUCUACAAGCAGAAGUGGGGUUCUACAAGCUAUGGGUCCCCGUCCUCCUCUUCAUCAUCCUCCACACUCCAAAUGGAGCCUUCAGCAAACUACACCGGGCUUUCGAGAUCUUCAAAAUCCAAGUCUACUGCAUCUAGGGACCUAAAAUGGUUAUUCAAUAACCAAUGAGACAACGUCUCAGCAAGUUCUACCCCCUAAGACCCGAUUAGUAAACUAAUACACCUUAGGGCUGCCUAUGCACAACAUAAGUCAGAGGACUUACCUUGGUCUCAGAUUCCACCUGCAUAUUAGCACAGAUCAAAUAGGCACCCAAGCAAUCACAUCACUGAUCGAAGCAUCAAUCAAAUCGACAUAGUCGAUUACAUCUCAAUCGAACCAUUCACUAGUCAUUUCCAUUCAAUCAAUCAAUUCACAACAUCAUAUCAAAGCAAUGAUCAAUCGACCUAGUCGAUUUCAUAUCAACAAGACCACUUUCGGUCAUUUCAACUAUUCCAACUCAAUUCCCAAUUAUGAAUCACGGUCCUUAGGACACAACUUAUCUAUAGGUGGUAAUCACGGCCCCACCAAGUAACUUUCUUAGAUUUAGUGGCUUUACGGUCCCACCUGACCCUUCCAAGAUUCAAUGGCUUUAUGGUUCCACCCGACCCUCUCAAGAUUCAAUGGCUUUAUGGUCCCACCCGACCUUUCCAAGAUUUAAUGGCUUUACGGUGCCACCCGACCCUCUCAAGAUCUAGUGGCUUUAUGGUCCCACCCGACCCUUUCAAGAUCUAGUGGCUUUAUGGUCCCACCCGACAUUUCCAAGAUUUAAUGGCUUUACGGUCCCACCCAACCCUUUCAAGAUCUAGUGGCUUUAUGGUCACACCUGACCCUUUCAAGAUCUAGUGGCUUUAUGGUGGCUUUAUGGUCCCACCCGACCCUUUCUACGAUGCCAUACUCUAUCACCAAGCCACGUGCAUUCUCCAACUCACUUUCGAUAUUGACAACCAAUACCCGACGGUUUCUCAAUCAAAGAAUUAAAAUCACAUCACUUAGGAAUAUACCCAAAAAUUCACAAUUAAUUUAAUUCGGCACGAUUCAAGCUCAAAUAAAUAAACGGAUUGCACCACGACAAUCAGCACAAAAUUCCGGUCACUAGCCAUCCCGGUUGAAUUUCCGAAAAAAAAAAUAAUAAUUAAUUAAUUUCGAAAAUUAAAUAAAUAAUUAUAAAAAAAAUCCAAUUUAGGUUCGUAAUGCCGAAUUGGACGCCGAGACGAGCCCAGAAAAUUACCGAGACUCGUUCCAUAAAUAACAUGGCAUGUCUACUUGCUAAUGUCUAUUUCUAACCACCUAACAUGCAUCAUUAAGUCUCUAAUUUAAUUGAUCUAAACUAAUCUAACCACCUAAUUGCAUUUAAUUAAAUCUAACCAACCCUAAGCAUAAUUAGCAAACUAAAAAGAAAGCAUUAGUGAGUAAAACUCACUUGAUUAAAAACGGGGACCAGGACACCGCGACGACGACGCGACGGCGGCCGAACUUGGGCCGACUUGCUUCACGGGCCCAGGAUGGGCUGAACUUGCUGGGCCUCGUUGAAACUAAAUUGAACUGGGCUUCAAGUUGUGAGCUUGAAGAUGGGCCGAAAACUGGGCUUGGGCUGCUGCGAACUGGGCCAAAUUCCAAUGGGCUAAACAGCUGGACUUUUGGGCUUCAAAUGGACUGAGAAUGGGCUGCUGGGUUCACUUGGGCUGAUAUUUAUUAAUUUGCGGGCUGAAUAAGAGAGCUUCAUGGGCUGUUGAACUGGGUCUAAAAUGCUGGACUGGGCUGCAACUUGAAUCGUUGAAGCAGAUGGGCCGUUGAUGCGAUCUGAUCCACGAGCGAAGAUGGGAGACAACGCGGCAAGAUCGAAGCAGCUGGCGUCGAGCGAAGACUUCGAUUGAUGGAGGAACACGCGGACGAUGUUGCUGCUAGGGAGUCUUCGAUCGUUGCUGGACACGCACAACCCCGAAAGAAAAAGAAGCCAGCUGGCGUCGGGCUUCGUGGGGGUGUGCUAGACAAGGCAACGGCGUGGCACAUGAAGCUGCUGGAGAUGAUGCAGCGAUUAACAAACCGACUGGUUUGACUGGGGAACAAAAGAUGGUGGAGGCGUGCUGGUAGAAACUGGGAGAGAUCUUCGGACGUGGCAGCUGUAGUUCCGGUGGCCACGAGCUGGAGAAGACCACGCGGAUGCUUACUCAAGUCUUCCGUGUUAAGGAGUUUGAUCGAGAGAGGGCAGCAAAGGAGAACUUGGUGGAUGUUGGGCUAAAAUCGUGAGGAUUGGGGGGUCAAAAGAAAUGGCUUCUUGUGUUGAUUGAGUUGACCGAAUAGCUUGCUGGCGUGAGAGUUCGAGGGGAUGAAGGGAAAGAAAUCAAGAGAGAGAGAGAGAGAUGGAGUUGCGGAGGGGGAGGUCGGCAAGUGUUGAAGAAGACCGAGGAUGGAGCUCACGAAAAUGGAGAAGUCUUGGACGGCAGCUGAGUGAGAGGGAAGAGAGAGAUG